GGCGGGGCGGGGGGGGAGCUCAAGAAGGUUUUUCCUCCUGUGAAGCUUCAGGCAGCCACAGGAAUGUAUCUCUAGGAACAGGCUGGCUGCAUAAACUGGAUAGAACAAGUUCAGGGCAGCGUUGCAGCUUGCUCUGACGCCAUGUCGGAGGGGGAGAGGGAGGGAGAGUUUCAGCUACAGAGGCAAGCAGCUGCUGCGGGGCCGUCGCUUGCACCCUCGAAAACAGCAAGGCAGAGUGCAAAUUCUGGUGGAGUCCGCAGCAGAAAAGGCGGGGGACAGCUACAGAAAGCAGAGCGGCAGGCUUUUGUUUCUGUAGCUGCUGCAUCUCGAAUCCGUGUGCUGGAGCCGCGUUUGUUGCCAAGGCUUGGCUGUGGUUGUGAAGAAGCUUGGAGUCUGUAUCCUCCAACGAAAGGACUUGCCUGAACUUGAAAGUUAAUUCAGAUUAAGGUAGGACGUGAAACUACAGCACAACUGUUGAUCCUGAAGAACUGCAACUAUCCCAUUGAUGAUACGACCUGAUGCACCAAGAAUCUAAAUGACAUGCCCAAACCUACAAAAGCCAGUAGACAGAAGGA